rnacentral:rRNA from 1 species
UGGGGAAUAUUGCACAAUGGGGGAAACCCUGAUGCAGCGACGCCGCGUGGAGGAAGAAGGUCUUCGGAUUGUAAACUCCUGUCGUUAGGGACGAUAAUGACGGUACCUAACAAGAAAGCACCGGCUAACUACGUGCCAGCAGCCGCGGUAAAACGUAGGGUGCAAGCGUUGUCCGGAAUUACUGGGUGUAAAGGGAGCGCAGGCGGGAAGACAAGUUGGAAGUGAAAACCAUGGGCUCAACCCAUGAAUUGCUUUCAAAACUGUUUUUCUUGAGUAGUGCAGAGGUAGAUGGAAUUCCCGGUGUAGCGGUGGAAUGCGUAGAUAUCGGGAGGAACACCAGUGGCGAAGGCGGUCUACUGGGCACCAACUGACGCUGAGGCUCGAAAGCAUGGGUAGCAAACAGGAUUAGAUACCCUGGUAGUCCAUGCCGUAAACGAUGAUUACUAGGUGUUGGGGGAUUGACCCCCUCAGUGCCGCAGUUAACACAAUAAGUAAUCCACCUGGGGAGUACGACCGCAAGGUUGAAACUCAAAGGAAUUGACGGGGGCCCGCACAAGCAGUGGAGUAUGUGGUUUAAUUCGAAGCAACGCGAAGAACCUUACCAGGUCUUGACAUCCGAUGCAUAGCACAGAGAUGUGUGAAAUCCUUCGGGACAUCGAGACAGGUGGUGCAUGGUUGUCGUCAGCUCGUGUCGUGAGAUGUUGGGUUAAGUCCCGCAACGAGCGCAACCCUUAUUGCCAGUUACUACGUUAAGAGGACUCUGGCGAGACUGCCGUUGACAAAACGGAGGAAGGUGGGGAUGACGUCAAAUCAUCAUGCCCUUUAUGACCUGGGCUACACACGUACUACAAUGGCGUUAAACAAAGAGAAGCAAGACCGCGAGGUGGAGCAAAACUCAAAAACAACGUCUCAGUUCGGACUGCAGUCUGCAACUCGACUGCACGAAGAUGGAAUCGCUAGUAAUCGCGAAUCAGCAUGUCGCGGUGAAUACAUUCUC